UACGGGGGAUGCAAGCGUUGUCCGGAAUCAUUGGGCGUAAAGAGUUCGUAGGUGGCAUAUUAAGUCUGGUGUUAAAUGCAGGGGCUCAACCUCUGUUCGGCACUGGAUACUGGUAAGCUUGAAUGCGGUAGAGGUAAAGGGAAUUCCUGGUGUAGCGGUGAAAUGCGUAGAUAUCAGGAGGAACAUCGGUGGCGUAAGCGCUUUACUGGGCCGUAAUUGACACUGAGGAACGAAAGCCAGGGUAGCAAAUGGG
rnacentral:rRNA from 1 species